rnacentral:rRNA from 1 species
ACGCUCGACACCUACUGGAGGCAGCAGUAGGGAAUAUUGCGCAAUGGGGGAAACCCUGACGCAGCAACGCCGCGUGGAGGAUGACACUUUUCGGAGCGUAAACUCCUUUUCUUAGGGAAGAAUUCUGACGGUACCUAAGGAAUAAGCACCGGCUAACUCCGUGCCUAGCAGCCGCGGUAAUCUGAGGCGGGCUGGCAAGGC